CUGGCAGCAACCGCGUCUCUAGUGGAAAUGCUUCUUAUUUGUUUCAAGCGUCAUUUCUUUCGCUAUUUUCGUUUCUAUGUAAUAAAUAAAAGCGGCUGUGUUAUGGUCUCUGUAGCAGGAAGGUCACCGUCGCUUUCAAGCUGGCGCUAAACAGGAAGUGAAACUCUCCAGCUUGACCUGAUUAUUUCCCUCUUCGGUUCCCGUCCGUGUCUCCGGGAUGCUGAGCAGCUCGGGCGGGGCCGUCACUCCUUGCAGUGCCCUGAUGUAGCAGGACGACACAGAAGGGACACGGAAGGAGCAGAGGACGGUUCUCACGGUUCAGUUCGUGAUACCACUUGUAUUUUUUUCUUUUAAUCUUCGCCAGUCUUCGGGUUGAGUAGGAUACGUGCGCGGUCUUCACGUCAAAAGCGUCGGAGCCUUCUCAUGCGGACAUCUUGAUUUUCUCACGUCGCUGUGUUUCGGGGAGCGGAGCCGUGUUUUUUCUGUCGUGUCAGCCUGGUUGGAAGUAGCGCUAUUUGAGUGUGUGUGUGUGUGUGUGUGUGUUUUGUUUGUGUGUGUUUUUUCUUUUUUGGUGGAACUCUAAACCCCACAGCAUGGCGUGGCCCUGCAUCAGCCGGGCGUGCUGCAUGGCCCGGUUCUGGAACCAGCUGGACAAGACUGACAUUGCGGUGCCUUUGGUCUUCACCAAGUACACGGACGCGUCGGAAAUGCAGCACAUCCAGCUGCAGCCGUCGCUCCAUCCUCCCCAGGCCCGGGUCGCCAUAGAGACGCAGCCGCCGCGCGCGGGAGCCCGCCUGGCGAAAGCGCCGCGCGGGCCGCGCAGGUGCGCCUCGGAGGAGCGCGUGUGCAGCUCGGUGAUGCGCGAGGACUUCAAACACUGGAAAGUGCGGCCCGAGCCCAGCUGUAAGCCCAGGAGCGAGUACCACGAGCCGGAGACGCCGUUCAACACCGAGACCCAGUACCAGAAGGACUACAAGCCCUGGCCCAUCCCGAAGAGGUACGACCACCCCUGGAUACCCAAACCCCCGCCGAGCGCCGGCGACGACCACCGACCCAGGCACGUGAAAAAGCACGUCGCGCCGGAUGCGGAAUGCGGCGUGGAGAAAGGCGCCAUUGCCGACAAGGUGCAGGAGAAAGACCUGCUGCUGCAGGGGCAGGAGAGGAAAAAGCGGUCCAGUAAGCAGGAGGGGCCGAAGAAGGUGGUCCUGAAGGUGGAGGCGGAAGGCAGGGGCAGGGCGGCGGCGGAUGCCCUGAACCGGCAGAUCAAGGAGGAGAUCUCGACUGGCACCUCCUAUAAAACCGAGUUCAAGGCGUACAAAGACGUGAAGCCAGUGAAGAUGAUUCGGGCAAAGUCUCAGUACCUGCCUCCAGACGAGAAGACGAGCUUAGAGACCAGCUACAGCGCCAACUUUAAGGCACUAGCUCCACUGCAGCCCACCGACAACAAGGCCCAGGAGAGGAGGAGGAUACGCAGUUUGUACAGCGAGCCUUACAUCGACCCUAGCAAGCAGGUUGACAGGUAUAGUGUCCCGCGCUCUAAACCUAAAAAGUCUGGAGCCGCAGCAGCAGGCCAGGGUAAACCGGUGAGGAAAGCCAAAGAUAAGCAGAGCGCCGCGCUGAAGGGCUCCAAGAAGACGACCUCGGAGAACCAGCCCGAGAACCGGCCGGCGGUCGGGGACAAGGAGAAAAGUAAAGAGAUCAACAACAAACUGGCUGAGGCAAAAGAGGUUGUGCUAAAACAGUACCACUACAUACAACUCUGCCAGCCAAUCCGAGAUAUUGGCUGGGUGCAGACCCUAAAGCAACACCUGUGGGGCUGUGCACUACCCGAUCCCAGGUAAACCCAACGCCACAAGCAAAAGAAAAGCCAAACGCAGCCAGAAAACGCCUCUCAUUCUCAUUCAUACCUGCUCAUGGAGUCGUGACCUGCUUUUGUUUUUCGAUUACAGUGGCACAGUUUUCUGAUUUUUUUCAUUUUUUUUCCUUCCUCUUUUUUAUUAUUAUUAUUAUUAUUACUGUUAUCCAGACCAAAUCACCACAUUGUCUUUGCUCGACUCCCCUCCGUGUUUCUCUUCCAUAUGGACACUAGAGUGGGAGGGGAGGGUGAGACGGAGGCCGGGUCUCACAUCCCGCCCGCGGCUUCCCUUAAGGAGGCCUGAGUUGUAGUCCAGCCAUCUCCAACUAUUCCUGAACCAGCUGCUGUGCUGCAUCCGGCCUCCAUGGUUUCUGGGAACUGCAUGAUUGAAUCUGUUUCGCUUCAAGAAGCGGUCCGCUCACAUAGUGCCUUGCGAAAGGAAUUCCAUCCCCACAACCCGCAAACUUCGGCGUAUUUUUAUUGGGAUUCUUUGCGAUGAAACCAAAAUGAAGUGGCUGUGAAGUGUGAAAAUGCAACACGGUUUCGACUUAUUUGAUGUAGAAUUUGAAAAGUGCGGUGAGCUUUUUUUUUUAUACGAUGUCCCCUAAAUAAGAUCCAGUGUUACUUCAGAAAUUACCAAAUGAGUAAAGAGUGGAUCAUUCAAAAUCAGUCUAAGUGCAAAAGUUCCCUUUAUUCAGCUAUGUAAAAGUAACAUCAUGAUUUAAACUCACCUAGUCAAAGUCCAAAGCUACGUUUUGUUAUUAUUUAUAAUUUGGCAAUAGCAGAUGCCGUCCAUCGAAGCUAACGGAACUCGAUGGACUCGUCUUGAAAACGAGCACUGGAAUAAAAAUCUGUUAAACCGUGCAUCAUUUUCCAUCCGCUCUGUGCACAACUUCAGUUCUGGUGUUGCACAUAGAACCCCAAUAAAAUAAAAAAUAAAAACAUCUAAGUUUUUAAAAAGAGCCAUGAAGUUUGAAACAUGACAGUGUCACACAGCCAACGGGGGCCGUCAACACGUUUGCCAGGUAGUGCAUGAGUCGGGUCUCUCAUGUCCUCCGCUCACAUGAACGAACUCUCUCCCGUUUCGCCCCCCAAAAAAGUCUAAGUGUUUCAUUCUUCUUCCGCACUUUGCCCUCGUUUGCAUUGGAAUGUGUUUUCUGACGCAUGCCGCCACUGUUUUCUGUUGGACCUGCAAUCUGAGUCUCACUUCCACGUAGUGGCCUAGGCCUCGCCCUCUUGAACAAGUGCUGAGCAUGGAAAUAAGAUGGAGGGUGAGUGUGAAUGGAAUGAGGGAAGCAGCGCCUCCUCGGAAAGACACAUUUCAGAGGAAAUUAGAUUCUAAAGACGAGGUUCUCCGACCCGGUCAUCGUCAUUCCCAGGGUGCUGCUGGAGGAGGAACACAGCCACUGCUGGAGGGAGG